GACGAACGCUGGCGGCGUGCUUAACACAUGCAAGUCGAACGGAAAGGCCCUGCUUUUGUUGGGUGCUCGAUUGGCGAACGGGUGAGUAACACGUGAGUAACCUGCCCUUGACUUUGGGAUAACUUCAGGAAACUGGGGCUAAUACCGGAUAGGAGCUCCUGCUGCAUGGUGGGGGUUGGAAAGUUUCGGCGGUUGUGGAUGUUCUCGCGGCUUAUCAGCUUGUUUGUGGGGUAGUGGCUGACCAAGGGUUUGACGGGUAGCCUGCCUGAGAGGGUGACCGGCCACAUUGGGACUGAGAUACGGCCCAGACUCCUACGGGAGGCAGCAGGGGGGAAUAUUGCACAAUGGGCGGAAGCCUGAUGCAGCAACGCCGCGUGCGGGAUGACGGCCUUCGGGUUGUAAACCGCUGUCGCAUGUGACGAAGCGUGAGUGACGGUAAUGGGUAAAGAAGCACCGGCUAACUACGUG
rnacentral:rRNA from 1 species